rnacentral:rRNA from 1 species
CCUACGGGAGGCAGCAGUGAGGAAUAUUGGUCAAUGGACGAGAGUCUGAACCAGCCAAGUAGCGUGAAGGAUGACUGCCCUAUGGGUUGUAAACUUCUUUUAUAAAGGAAUAAAACGAGGCACGUGUGCCUUUUUGCAUGUACUUUAUGAAUAAGGAUCGGCUAACUCCGUGCCAGCAGCCGCGGUAAUACGGAGGAUCCGAGCGUUAUCCGGAUUUAUUGGGUUUCAAGGGAGCGUAGAUGGGUUGUUAAGUCAGUUGUGAAAGUUUGCGGCUCAACCGUAAAAUUGCAAUUGAUACUGGCAGUCGUGAGUACAGUUGAGGUAAGCGGAAUUCGUGGUGUAGCGGUGAAAUGCUUAGAUAGCACGAAGAACCCCGAUUGCGAAGGCAGCUUACUAAACUGUGACUGACAUUGAUGCUCGAAAGUGUGGGUAUCAAACAGGAUUAGAUACCCUAGUAGUC